rnacentral:rRNA from 1 species
UACGUAGGGUGCAAGCGUUGUCCGGAAUUACUGGGCGUAAGGAGCUCGUAGGUGGUUUGUCGCGUUGUUCGUGAAAACUCACAGCUCAACUGUGGGCGUGCGGGUGAUACGGGCAGACUGGAGUACUGCAGGGGAGACUGGAAUUCCGGGUGUAGUGGUGAAAUGCGUAGAGAUCCGGAGGAACACCAGUGGCGAAGGCGACACGCUGGGCCGUACCUGACGCUAAAGCGCGACAGCAUGGGGAGCAAACGGG